rnacentral:rRNA from 1 species
AACGCGAAGAACCUUACCAUGGCCUUGACAUAUCUAGAAUCCUCCAGAGAAAGAUUGGUGCCUUCGGGAACAUUGAGACAGGUGCUGCAUGGCUGUCGUCAACUCGUGUCGUGAGAUGUUGGGUUAAGUCCCGCAACGAGCGCAACCCUUGUUCUUAGUUGCCAGCACGUUAUGCUGGGCACUCUAAUGAGACUGCCGGUGACAAACCGGAGGAAGGUGGGGCUGACGUCAAGUCAUCAUGGCCCUUACGGCCUGGGCUACACACGUGCUACAAUGGUAGCUACAGAGGGUUGCCAAGCCGCGAGGUGGAGCUAAUCCCAUAAAACCGAUCGUAGUCCGGAUCGCAGUCUGCAACUCGACUGCGUGAAGUCGGAAUCGCUAGUAAUCGCGAAUCAGAAUGUCGCGGUGAAUACGUUCCCGGGCCUUGUACACAC